UGGGUAGUUUGACUGGGGCGGUCUCCUCCUAAAGAGUAACGGAGGAGCACGAAGGUUGGCUAAUCCUGGUCGGACAUCAGGAGGUUAGUGCAAUGGCAUAAGCCAGCUUGACUGCGAGCGUGACGGCGCGAGCAGGUGCGAAAGCAGGUCAUAGUGAUCCGGUGGUUCUGAAUGGAAGGGCCAUCGCUCAACGGAUAAAAGGUACUCCGGGGAUAACAGGCUGAUACCGCCCAAGAGUUCAUAUCGACGGCGGUGUUUGGCACCUCGAUGUCGGCUCAUCACAUCCUGGGGCUGAAGUAGGUCCCAAGGGUAUGGCUGUUCGCCAUUUAAAGUGGUACGCGAGCUGGGUUUAGAACGUCGUGAGACAGUUCGGUCCCUA
rnacentral:rRNA from 1 species